AGUGAACGCUGGCGGCAGGGCCUAAUACAUGCAAGUCGAACGGCAGCACAGCAGAGCUUGCUCUGUGGGUGGCGAGUGGCGGACGGGUGAGGAAUACGUGGGAAUCUGCCCAGUCGUGGGGGAUAACGUAGGGAAACUUACGCUAAAUACCGCAUGCGCCCUUCGGGGGAAAGCCGGGGACCUUCGGGCCUGGCGCGAUUGGAUGAGCCCACGUCGGAUUAGCUAGUUGGCGGGGUAAAGGCCCACCAAGGCGACGAUCCGUAGCUGGUCUGAGAGGAUGAUCAGCCACACUGGAACUGAGACACGGUCCAGACUCCUACGGGAGGCAGCAGUAGGGAAUAUUGGACAAUGGGCGCAAGCCUGAUCCAGCCAUGCCGCGUGAGUGAAGAAGGCCCUCGGGUUGUAAAGCUCUUUUGUCCGGAAAGAAAAGCGCCGGGUUAAUACCCUGGUGUCCUGACGGUACCGGAAGAAUAAGCACCGGCUAACUUCGUG
rnacentral:rRNA from 1 species